CCUACGGGUGGCAGCAGUGGGGAAUAGUGCACAAUGGGGGAAACCCUGAUGCAGCGACGCCGCGUGAGUGAAGAAGUAUUUCGGUAUGUAAAGCUCUGUCAGCAGGGAAGAAAAUGACGGUACCUGUCCAAGAAGCCCCGGGUAACCACGUGCAAGCAGCCGCGGUAAUACGUAGGGGGCAAGGGUUAUCCGGAUUUCCUGGGUGGAAGGGGAGCGUAGACGGCAGGGCAAGUCUGGAGUGAAAGGCGGGGGCUCAACCCCCGGAUUGCUCUGGAAACUGCCAGGCUGGAGUGCAGGAGAUGUAAGUGGAAUUCCUAGUGUAGCGGUGAAAUGCGUAGAUAUUAGGAGGAACACCAGUGGCGAAGGCGGCUUACUGGACUGUAACUGACGUUGAGGCUCGAAAGCGUGGGGAGCAAACAGGAUUAGAUACCCUAGUAGUC
rnacentral:rRNA from 1 species